rnacentral:lncRNA from 1 species
GAAACUGAGGAAGUGGCUCUUCAAUUCUUCAUGCUUUGCCAGUUUGGGGUUGGAACUAUGGCCAAGGUCUUUCUGUUUGUCCAUAAUUUCUUCCCAAUCUUGACUGGUUCUCAACAGAGUCCCAGACAAGUUAUUUUAAGCCACAUGAUUGUGGCCAGUGCUUUGAUUCUCCUUCUCACUGUAUUUCCAAACAACAUAAUGACUUUUGCUCCAAGAAAUCCUCCAACUGACCUCAAAUAUAAAUUAGAAUUCUUCAGUCACAUGGUGGCAAGAAGCACAAACUUGUGUUCCACCUGUGUCCUGAGUAUCCAUCAGUUUGUCAUUCUUGUUCCUAUUAAUAGAGGUAAAGUUAUACUCAGAGCAGUGUCCCAAAUUUGGUGAGUUAUUCUUGUUACAGUUGUUGGUUCCUAUGUGUCUUGAAUAACAUUUGUGUUCCAAUUAAGUUCACUGAAUACAGAUAACAGACAAUAACACUGAUUCUAAAAACAAAUUGUUUUGUUCUGCUUCUGGAUUUAGUGUAGACAUUUUCUUCUUGAGGUUUGCCCGUGAUGCCACAUUUGUCAGUAUCAUGGUCUGGACCAGUGAUUCCAUGGUACUUCUUCAUGGACAUCACCAGUGAAUGCAGCACAGGCUUACCCCCAAUCAAGACCACAGAGGCCAAGCUGAGACCAGAGCGACCCAUACUGUCCUGAUGCGGGUGGUCAUAUUUGUUAGCUUUUAUCUUUUAAAUUUUAUUUGUAUCAUCUUUCACACCUUUUUUAAAACUAGUUUCUCAUCUCUUCAUGAGGCAUUUUUGUGAAGUUUUGGCUGCAAGCUUCCCCACUCUCUCCCCCUUACUGUUGAUCUUCAGAGAUCUUAAGGAACCUUAUUCUGUUCUCUUCAACUGUUGA